AACGUAGGAGACAAACGUUAUCCGGAGUUACUGGGCGUAAAGGGCGUGUAGGCGGUUUGUUAAGUCUGGCGUGAAAGCUCUCGGCUAAACCGGGAGAGGUCGUUGGAUACUGGCAAACUAGAGGACGGUAGAGGCGUGUGGAAUUCCGGGUGUAGUGGUGAAAUGCGUAGAGAUCCGGAGGAACACCAGUGGCGAAGGCGGGUCUCUGGGCAGUAACUGACGCUGAGGAGCGAAAGCGUGGGGAGCGAACCGG
rnacentral:rRNA from 1 species